GUCUGUUUUUCCAUGCAAAAUGUAUUACAAAGAAUAUGGUUUAUCAAAUGAGUUAUCUCCCCUGAAACCCCCCCCAAAAAGGGGGGGUUACUUCCUUUAUUUUUAGUGGUAUGAGUGUGCCGCAAAACGGUCCCUUUUCAUGUCCUACUGGUUAGGACAGGGUGGCUUUUCCAUGUCCUGUUGGUGAGAAAAGUGUCUUUU
rnacentral:lncRNA from 1 species